ACGUGACUCUCUAGGUCGUCUUCAACAAAACACGUGACUCCACCUGUUGUUCUGGAGGUGAAUCUCUCUGCAACACACGCACGACUUUACAACCAGGAAGUGAAACCAGUGCGUCGACACGACGUAAAGACGCAGCCUUUAUUUUUAGGGCCUGAGCUGACUGAAAGUCGGGCGGAGCUCUAUUGUGUUUCAAAGAAUUAUUAUUAUUAUUUUGCCACUUCAAUCGGACUUUUGAGGCCUUUCCCAUAUUCAAAAACUCUUAAAAUUUGGCGUGCACAUCAGAAGUGCGAAAAAUGUUGAUAUAUUUGGGGUCGUGCAUUUAAGGAUAAAAAAUGGCUCUACAGCGCCCCCUUUUUUGACUUGACAUUUUGCACACAGGUGCUCCAGGAUAUGCUCUUCAAAAAAAGUCAAUCAUGGUAUGCAAACUAGAUUUUCCGCCAUCUAGAAUUUUGUGAAAAACACAUUUUUGCAAACUCCUCCCAGACCCUUGGUCCGAUUUUCACGAAAUUCUCAGGGAAUGAAUAUUGGCCCAAUGCCAUCGGAGGUUAUUAAAAGCCUGUUGAUAUCUUAUUUUUUUAUCAAAGUUACGGACCAAUGAAAUUUGUAAGGGGUGUGGUCUAAGAGUUAAAGACCUAUAACUUGAAAAGUAGUCAUAGGUUUUCCUCACCAGAUCUCCUAGGAUAUGUUCACAUUGAGUCCCUGAGCCUGCUCUGAUUUUCACAACAUUUGAACAUUAGCGGGCGCUGCAGUUACUAAACUUGGAAAACCUCAAAUUUGUGAAUAAAAGACAUAAAAGAAAAAUAGUUCACUGUCAAUAUUGGGAGCUUUGUUUCCUUGACAACACUUUGCAUGAAAGUGCACGCAGAUAUUUCGGUAACUUGGCAAACUCAAAAACUCUUGAAAUGUGAUGUCAGUGGUAAUAACAUUACAGAGCCGAUGUGGAGUUUUUGCUCAAAAGUAGUAAAUUGUCUUCAUAGCGCCCCCUGGCAGUUUUCAACUAAAUAGCCCCUGUGUGACCUACAUGUAUGAGGGUUUUUGGACAUAUAUAGAACAGGGAGAUUUAAAAUAAAGUAUCUUGGGACCAUGCUCUAAAAUGAACAGGAAGUCAGUUAUAACUUUUUUUGUGUCAAUAUUCCCUCUCAUUUUCUGUACUUUCUAGACGCUGUAGUUUGACAAACUUCUCCCUGGGACUUUGUCACAGCCACUUCAAAUUCUGACAAAACAAUCCCAAGGCCUUGCUGAUAAAAGUUAUCAAAAACUUUUUGUUGCUUCAAGGUCAAAACGGAGAUCCCUUUGAGACUAAAUGUGCUCCAAUCUUUACCAAAUUUAAAACACAUUUACAGUCAUAGAUGUAGUUACUUCAUAUGAUUUCAAUGCUUACAAAUAGCAUUUUGGCUCGAUAGCGCCCCCUACACAUGUUCAUAAAGCAGCCCCAGCAACCACUGGGAUCUAGGAGCACUCACCUGGAGGCAUCAGCUUUGAUUUUUCUUCCCUAUCAGCAGACUUUACAAGUUAAUACUUCUGCAGGAACCUCAGCGUGACGUCGACAGCCGACUCUCCCUGACUCCAACAUCACUGACAACACCAUCCUGUAGAUACACGCUCUACAACAUCAGGAGAACACGUCCUCUUCUCACUCAGAAGUACUAAGCAGUUUGUCCUUCAGAGGAUCGUGCACCCUCAGAUGAAGGAGUCUGGACAGAGCACAUCCUCAACAUGCUCGUCACUUGCAUAGACUUUAUUGCUAUUUUGAGUUCAUUUUAAAAAAUGUAUUUGCACUUUCUCUUUACUUUUAAACACAUUUUUGCACUUACGUUUUGUAUUACUAUUUAAUGUAUUUUUCACUAGCAAAGACCCCGCCAUUCACUGAAGGCGUUUAACAUGAUGAAUGUGUCGUUGAUUUAUUUCGUCUGGUCGGUCGGAUGGGUUGUGGGGAACUACGUGGGAGGAUCCGCCGUGCGCCUGGGGCACGGCGAACACCUUCAGGGCACCUACAAAACCUUCAGGGCCCAACGAACACCUUCAGGGCCCAACGAAAACCUUCAGGGCCCUACGAAAACCUUCAGGGCCCUACCAAAUGCUGGAAAAAGAGGGAGUAAAAAGAAAAGAAAAAGGUGUUGGGAGGGUGGGGUUUUUAGGAUGCGUACUCGAGAACGAGAAGAGUGGGUUGAGUUGUUGGAGGCGUGGUCUUGCUCCCCAAAUUACGCUAAUUAGCUUAUCUUAGCUUAACUUGUUACUUCAAAUUCCAACGUGUUGAGUAAUCAUUUUAAUUUGCUAUUGUAGGGGACUCACAGGAACAAAUUCACAGGGCCUUUCAAGAGAAAGCGGCAUAAACAUGGUGACAUGGGGGGUAAAAAGGGAGCAGGAAGUGAUGUGUGAGAGAUGGCGUUGGAUGUAAAUAAACAGCCACAUGUUGAAGCCAAAAGGAA